CAGUAGCCGCGGUAAUACGUAGGUGGCAAACGUUGUCCGGAAUUAUUGGGCGUAAAGGGCUCGCAGGCGGUUUCUUAAGUCUGAUGUGAAAGCCCCCGGCUCAACCGGGGAGGGUCAUUGGAAACUGGGAAACUUGAGUGCAGAAGAGGAGAGUGGAAUUCCACGUGUAGCGGUGAAAUGCGUAGAGAUGUGGAGGAACACCAGUGGCGAAGGCGACUCUCUGGUCUGUAACUGACGCUGAGGAGUGAAAGCGUGGGGAGCGAACAGGAUUAGAUACCCCAGUAGUCCCUGUCUCUUAUAA
rnacentral:rRNA from 1 species